UACGUAGGGAGCAAGCGUUGUCCGGAAUCACUGGGCGUAAAGGGCGCGUAGGCGGUUCGUACAGUCAGACGUGAAAUUCCUGGGCUCAACCUGGGGGCUGCGUUUGAUACGUACGGACUUGAGUGCGGAAGAGGGUCGUGGAAUUCCCAGUGUAGAGGUGAAAUUCGUAGAUAUUGGGAAGAACACCGGUGGCGAAGGCGGCGACCUGGUCCGAUACUGACGCUGAGGCGCGAAAGCGUGGGGAGCAAACAGG
rnacentral:rRNA from 1 species